GUCCCUGUAGCGCCUUUGGAAGCGCGUUGGACUUCUAAUCCAAAGAUUGGGGUUCGAAUCCCACCAGGGAUA